GACGAACGCUGGCGGCGUGCCUAACACAUGCAAGUCGAACGAGAGAGAGGAAGCUUGCUUCCUUAAUCGAGUGGCGAACGGGUGAGUAACGCGUGAGGAACCUGCCUCAAAGAGGGGGACAACAGUUGGAAACGACUGCUAAUACCGCAUAAGCCCACAGCUCGGCAUCGAGCAGAGGGGAAAGAGUGAUCCGCUUUGAGAUGGCCUCGCGUCCGAUUAGCUGGUUGGUGAGGUAACGGCCCACCAAGGCAAUGAUGGGUAGCCGGCCUGAGAGGGUGAACGGCCACAAGGGGACUGAGACACGGCCCUU
rnacentral:rRNA from 1 species